AAGGAUAGGAUUAGCCCUGGAGUUUUCGGCAAAUUACAACUGCAGGAGAAAUACAGGGACACUCAACAGGGUGGUCUUUUUGGAGGAUUGCUAAAGGCUGAACAAUUUACUGCCUCUAAUCUGCCACGAGACUACGACCAAAAAGAAAAGAAAAAUUGGUGCGUUGCUUUAUGGUCUGUGCUCUGAAUUUGAAGAGUCUAUGGCGAAGUUUGUCCAGGGGAUUGGCAAUCUUGAGCAACGUACUGCUGCUGGAAGCACUACCCAUGCCAAUGUUGUACC